rnacentral:misc_RNA from 1 species
GAUGAAGAACGCAGCGAAAUGCGAUAAGUAAUGUGAAUUGCAGAAUUCAGUGAAUCAUCGAGUCUUUGAACGCACAUUGCGCCCCCUGGUAUUCCGGGGGGCAUGCCUGUCCGAGCGUCAUUGCUGCCCUCAAGCACGGCUUGUGUGUUGGGCCUCCGUCCUCCUCCCGGGGGACGGGCCCGAAAGGCAGCGGCGGCACCGCGUCCGGUCCUCGAGCGUAUGGGGCUUCGUCACCCGCUCUUGUAGGCCCGGCCGGCGCUUGCCGACACAUCAAUCUUUUUUCCAGGUUGACCUCGGAUCAGGUAGGGAUACCCGCUGAACUUAAGCAUAUCAAUAAGCGGAG